GUUAUGAGAUUAUAUCACUUUCUGGAACUUUUGUGGACAAAACACCUGUUGGAGCAUCGGUCACUGGAGGGUUGCCAAUAUGCCUCUCCAGUAGCUCUGGUCAUCUCGUGGGGGGGCUACUGGAUGGUCCUUUAACUGCUACAAAUCGUGUCCAGGUAACUCUUGGAUCUUUCUGAUGUGACAGUGAUGGAGACUUCAAUGCCCCCACUAAAACAGCUACUGCUUCUGCUGUCCAAUCAUCCACUUCAUUGCAAGCUGGCUCAGCAUUAUAUUCUCCAGGCUCACAUCCUCAAUAGUGGGAAAUUUACGAGUGAAACAAAUGCUAUUUACCGAAGUUGUGGUGCAAGUGACAUCAGUCAUGUGAUCCAAGAAUCCCCGACCGACUGGACAGGAAGGUGAGAUGGUGGACAUGGUGGGGCAUCUCGGUUCCUAGAUGAUCAAAAUGAUGAAAAAUUAUAGUAUACAGAAAAUUUUUCUUGAUUGUAAAAGUGUUCACCAUCUUCCUUGUUGGCUACAUCCUCGGUGAGGAAUUCAUGCACAGCCCUCCAAAUUUUCGUGUGCUAUUCUUCAUUUUAGUUUGAUCUGUA